rnacentral:rRNA from 1 species
GUGGGGAAUAUUGGACAAUGGGCGAAAGCCUGAUCCAGCCAUGCCGCGUGUGUGAAGAAGGUCUUCGGAUUGUAAAGCACUUUAAGUUGGGAGGAAGGGCAUUAACCUAAUACGUUAGUGUUUUGACGUUACCGACAGAAUAAGCACCGGCUAACUUCGUGCCAGCAGCCGCGGUAAUACGAAGGGUGCAAGCGUUAAUCGGAAUUACUGGGCGUAAAGCGCGCGUAGGUGGUUCGUUAAGUUGGAUGUGAAAGCCCCGGGCUCAACCUGGGAACUGCAUCCAAAACUGGCGAGCUAGAGUACGGUAGAGGGUAGUGGAAUUUCCUGUGUAGCGGUGAAAUGCGUAGAUAUAGGAAGGAACACCAGUGGCGAAGGCGACUACCUGGACUGAUACUGACACUGAGGUGCGAAAGCGUGGGGAGCAAACAGGAUUAGAAACCCCGGUAGUCC